CCAGGAAAGGCACUGGAGCAGAUUUAUCCCCUCAGCAAAGACAGAGUCUGGGGACAGAGGGUCUCCUCCCACGUGUGGGCACCAACACUGAAGGACAAGUCAGCAGUCAUUAAUGUUACAAUAAAUGAUGUAUGGCUUCAAACCCUUAUACUGCUUUCCCCCACUCCAUCAAACCAUACUUAGGGAUCAUCUCUUAAUAUCCUCCGAAAGGGCUUUGUUUGCUACCACAGUUGCUGUGAACAGCCUAUAAUGAGAUGCCUUCAUUGUUCUCACAUACAUGAUUACAUAAUAAGUAGUCCAGAAGUUACAAGCUAUAAAUUCUUUAGGGCCAAAGUUCCCAUGUUCUCCAAACUGCCUGCUAGGCAGAGGGGCAACUACUUACAUAGGUUUUUUUUACAGUCAACCAAGUGCUUGCAUGUCAGGAGAUCCUGAUUGUACCUCAGGAGACCCUGAUUCCUUUCCUGGUGGCUGCCAAACGCCAUCAGAGUGAGCUCCAUUAGCACUGGGUGGAGCAGCAGAUGCCCUUCAUGAAUCUGUGCUCAGCCUGGAGGCUUGCAGGGUGCCCAGAGGUCCAUGUCCAGUCGAGGGUCCAGACUUCUGGGGAAAGGUCAAGCUCAUGGGACAAACCGUCUAUCUCAGAGAGAUCAAGACUGAGCCCAGGGCUAGCGUGAAAACUCAGACCCAGCUCCAGAAGUUGUGGAAAGUCUUCUUAACUUCAAGCUUAAUUCAAGCUUAAUUCAAGAAACACAGAAACGAUUGGGCAUCAAAGCUGAAAAAUGCCAAGAGACACAACUGCUUCAGCUCUUACCCACUGAUUUGUUUCUGUCCCCUGCAGCCACAAUGAGGAGCUAACUCCCUUGUGGCACUGGGCCCAGCAUUGCUCUGGGGACAGAAAUGGGCUCCUCCCUGUGCAGCUCCAGACCGGGCACCUCUGGCACCCCAGGGCUUCCCCCAGCUCCAUGGCGCAGCCUGGCCAUAAGAAGCUGCAGAAAUGCCUUUGUGUCCUCUCCGUUCAUCUCUGGGUGGGCAUCAAUGAGAACUUCCAGGGUUGAUCUGCAUGGCUGGAGCUUGCCCUUCAUGGUGUGAGUAUUGGAGGUUUCCUUUCAGAGCUAUG
rnacentral:lncRNA from 1 species